CUGCCGCGUGUAUGAAGAAGGCCUUCGGGUUGUAAAGUACUUUCAGUCGGGAGGAAGGUGGUAAGGUUAAUAACCUUAUCAAUUGACGUUACCGACAGAAGAAGCACCGGCUAACUCCGUGCCAGCAGCCGCGGUAAUACGGAGGGUGCAAGCGUUAAUCGGAAUUACUGGGCGUAAAGCGCACGCAGGCGGUUGAUUGAGUCAGAUGUGAAAUCCCCGGGCUUAACCCGGGAAUUGCAUUUGAUACUGGUCAGCUAGAGUCUUGUAGAGGGGGGUAGAAUUCCAUGUGUAGCGGUGAAAUGCGUAGAGAUGUGGAGGAAUACCGGUGGCGAAGGCGGCCCCCUGGACAAAGACUGACGCUCAGGUGCGAAAGCGUGGGGGA
rnacentral:rRNA from 1 species